GACGAACGCUGGCGGCGUGCCUAAUACAUGCAAGUAGGAGCAAGUUGCGAACGGGUGAGUAACGCGUAGGUAACUACCUAUUAGAGGGGGAUAACUAUUGGAAACGAUAGCUAAUACCGCAUACUAGUAUAUGGACCUUCGUUGUAUUAGCUAGUUGGUAGGGUAAUGGCAUACCUAGGCAACGAUACAUAGCCGACCUGAGAGGGGGAUGAGCCAACCUGGGACUGAGACACGGCCCAGACUCCUACGGUAGGCAGCAGUGGGGAAUAUUGCACAAUGGGCGCAAGCCUGAUGCAGCCAUGCGGCGUGUAUGAAGAAGGCCUUAGGGUUGUAAAGUACUUUCAGCGGGGAGCGUUACCCGCAGAAGAAGCACCGGCUAACUCCGUGCCAGCAGCCGCGGUAAUAC
rnacentral:rRNA from 1 species